rnacentral:rRNA from 1 species
AGUGAACGCUGGCGGCGUGCUUAACACAUGCAAGUCGAACGGUAACAGAUAGAAGCUUGCUUCUAUGCUGACGAGUGGCGGACGGGUGAGUAAUGUAUAGUUAAUCUGCCCUUUAGAGGGGGAUAACAGUUGGAAACGACUGCUAAUACCCCAUACUCCUUUCUACUUAAUGUAGAUUGGGAAAUGUUUUUUCGCUAAAGGAUGAGACUAUAUGGUAUCAGCUAGUUGGUGAGGUAAGAGCUCACCAAGGCAAUGACACCUAGCUGGUCUGAGAGGAUGAUCAGCCACACUGGAACUGAGACACGGUCCAGACUCCUACGGGAGGCAGCAGUGGGGAAUAUUGCACAAUGGAGGAAACUCUGAUGCAGCAACGCCGCGUGGAG